rnacentral:rRNA from 1 species
UACGUAGGGGGCUAGCGUUGUCCGGAUUUAUUGGGCGUAAAGAGCGUGUAGGCGGCCAGAUAGGUCUGCUGUGAAAACUCGAGGCUCAACCUCGAGAUGUCGGCGGAAACCAUUUGGCUAGAGUCCGGAAGAGGAAAGUGGAAUUCCUGGUGUAGCGGUGAAAUGCGCAGAUAUCAGGACGAACACCAAUGGCGAAGGCAGCUCGCUGGGACGUGACUGACGCUGAGACGCGAAAGCGUGGGGAGCAAACAGG